rnacentral:rRNA from 1 species
UGCAAGUCGAACGAACUUCCGUUAAUUGAUUAUGACGUACUUGUACUGAUUGAGAUUUUAACACGAAGUGAGUGGCGAACGGGUGAGUAACACGUGGGUAACCUGCCCAGAAGUAGGGGAUAACACCUGGAAACAGAUGCUAAUACCGUAUAACAGAGAAAACCGCAUGGUUUUCUUUUAAAAGAUGGCUCUGCUAUCACUUCUGGAUGGACCCGCGGCGUAUUAGCUAGUUGGUGAGGUAAAGGCUCACCAAGGCAGUGAUACGUAGCCGACCUGAGAGGGUAAUCGGCCACAUUGGGACUGAGACACGGCCCAGACUCCUACGGGAGGCAGCAGUAGGGAAUCUUCCACAAUGGACGCAAGUCUGAUGGAGCAACGCCGCGUGAGUGAAGAAGGGUUUCGGCUCGUAAAGCUCUGUUGUUAAAGAAGAACGUGGGUAAGAGUAACUGUUUACCCAGUGACGGUAUUUAACCAGAAAGCCACGGCUAACUACGUGCCAGCAGCCGCGGUAAUACGUAGGUGGCAAGCGUUAUCCGGAUUUAUUGGGCGUAAAGCGAGCGCAGGCGGUCUUUUAAGUCUAAUGUGAAAGCCUUCGGCUCAACCGAAGAAGUGCAUUGGAAACUGGGAGACUUGAGUGCAGAAGAGGACAGUGGAACUCCAUGUGUAGCGGUGAAAUGCGUAGAUAUAUGGAAGAACACCAGUGGCGAAGGCGGCUGUCUGGUCUGCAACUGACGCUGAGGCUCGAAAGCAUGGGUAGCGAACAGGAUUAGAUACCCUGGUAGUCCAUGCCGUAAACGAUGAUUACUAAGUGUUGGAGGGUUUCCGCCCUUCAGUGCUGCAGCUAACGCAUUAAGUAAUCCGCCUGGGGAGUACGACCGCAAGGUUGAAACUCAAAAGAAUUGACGGGGGCCCGCACA